GUGCGCCGCCGCGGUAAUACGGAGGGUGCAAGCGUUGUCCGGAAUCACUGGGCGUAAAGGGUGCGCAGGCGGGGCAGCAAGUCUGAGGUGAAAGCCCGUGGCUCAACCACGGAAGUGCCUUCGAAACUGUUGCUCUUGAGUCCCGGAGAGGCUGUCGGAAUUCGUGGUGUAGCGGUGAAAUGCGUAGAUAUCACGAGGAACACCAGAGGCGAAAGCGGACAGCUGGACGGGUACUGACGCUCAGGCACGAAAGCGUGGGGAGCAAACAGGAUUAGAAACCCUAGUAGUCC
rnacentral:rRNA from 1 species